rnacentral:rRNA from 1 species
AUUGAACGCUGGCGGCAUGCCUUACACAUGCAAGUCGAACGGUAACGCGGGGCAACCUGGCGACGAGUGGCGAACGGGUGAGUAAUGCAUCGGAACGUGCCCAGUAGUGGGGGAUAGCCCGGCGAAAGCCGGAUUAAUACCGCACACGACCUACGGGUGAAAGCGGGGGACCGUAAGGCCUCGCGCUAUCGGAGCGGCCGAUGUCAGAUUAGGUUGUUGGUGGGGUAAAAGCCUACCAAGCCGACGAUCUGUAGCUGGUCUGAGAGGACGACCAGCCACACUGGGACUGAGACACGGCCCAGACUCCUACGGGAGGCAGCAGUGGGGAAUUUUGGACGAUGGGGGCAACCCUGAUCCAGCCAUGCCGCGUGCGGGAAGAAGGCCUUCGGGUUGUAAACCGCUUUUGUCAGGGAAGAAACACCGGCUCUAACACAGUCCGGGAAUGACGGUACCUGAGGAAUAAGCACCGGCUAACUACGUGCCAGCAGCCGCAGUAAGAC